AACAUCGCGCACCUGCGGGAACCUGCGGAAGGAUCAUUAAAAAGAGUGUGUACCCCUCUGUAAAAUGAGUGGGUUACCUCCCGUCCUUUGUUGACCUCUUAGGAGGUUAUUUUGAACUUUCUGCUUCGGUGGGGUUAAACCUACCGGAACACCCUCAAAUUCUUAUCAUUUAAAAAUUGUUCAGUCUGAUUUUUGUUAAUAAAAACAAAAAACUUUCAACAACGGAUCUCAGAUCGGAAG
rnacentral:misc_RNA from 1 species